rnacentral:rRNA from 1 species
CCCUGCCUUUUGUACACACCGCCCGUCGCUCCUACCGAUUGUGUGCACAGGUGAGGACUAGGGAGCCCCGAUGUAGGGUAGUUUCUACCCCACUUUGGGACGAACUUGUCCAAAUCUUUUCACAUAGA